UCGCAGUCCAGGCGUAAGUAAGUAUUGGUCUAAUCGCGCUUCUGAAGAGCCAGUGAACUUUCCUCGGAUUCAGGCAUCGAGGAAAGUUUACUGGCUCUUCAGAAGCGUGAUUAGACCAAUACUUACUUACGCCUGGACUGC
rnacentral:pre_miRNA from 1 species